AGCCAGAAGUGGUGCUCAGGCCCUAAGCCCUAUGACUGGCAAAAUCAAAACCCCCACAAAUAUACACACAAAAAACAUACUAUUAAUCAAAUUCCAGAUUCAAAUCACCUUGCAAGAUAUAAACAGAUAAUCUACAUCCUUAAAUUAAUGGUUUUGUCAUUUAACAUAUACUACAAGAACUAGAAAUUAGUUUAAUGUUUUUGCUAUUGUUGUCUUUCUUCUUCUUCCUCCCUCUCUCUCUCUCUCCUCCCCCCCACGUCCUG